GAUGAAGAACGCAGCGAAAUGCGAUACUUGGUGUGAAUUCCAGAAUCCCGUGAACCAUCGAGUCUUUGAACGCAAGUUGCGCCCGAAGCCAUCAGGUUGAGGGCACGUCUGCCUGGGCGUCACAUAUCGUUGCCCAAUGCCUAUUGCAGUGCAAUAGGAAUUUCUAGGGCGAAUGAUGGCUUCCCGUGAGCGUUGUUGCCUCGCGGUUGGUUGAAAAUCGAGUCCUUGGUAGGGUGUGCCAUGGUAGAUGGUGGUCGAGUUAGAACGAUACCGAUCAUGUGCAUGCUCCCCAAAAUAUGGCCUCUAUGACCCACACGCGUCUUUUGACGCUCAUGACGAGACCUCAGGUCAGGCGGGGCUACCCGCUGAAUUUAAGCAUAUCAAUAAGCGGAGGA
rnacentral:misc_RNA from 1 species